UUUCAGUUCGUUUUGUUGCUUGAUAUUGAAAACUGGUGUUUCUUACCAUAUUACUUUGAUGUGUUGUCUUAAUUAUAAACACAUCAGGUUGUAGCACAAACAAUUUUACCGUUUAUUGCACUUUGUUUUUCUUCUCAUUAUUUCCUUACUGCGGCUAAUGAAGCGGUCGUCUCGCACAUUCAGCUUACUUCCCCAUUGAAAAAUAAGGUGGAUAUAUAUUAUCAUUAUUAUUUUUUUUAUGAGAUGCACCAUUCAGUUUGUGUUAGUUCAUAGUUUUACUGUCUGUACUAUUAUUCUAUCAUGUGAAAAAUACUAAUAGUAUAGAAUUAGCAGGUUUGUCCAAACUUUUAAAUGGUACCAGAUAUGAAUUUGCGGCUGUUUACAGUAUGCAUAAAUGUGUGUGAGUGGCUUAUUGCUUGAAGAAUCAUGCAUGUAUAAAGUAUCAGUGUUUAAUGGGCUACAUGCCAGCAGGUGUGUGUGGGUAAGUGAGAGAGUGAGUGUGUUGGGGGGCUUUGCCCGUGCAACUAAGUAUAAAUAUUUCACCCACUUCUUCAGUUCCCUUUUGUUCAUCAUUAUAGUGGCUCGAUGGCCAACCCCUUUAAUCCACAGCUGAAUGAAUGAACGCUAGAGAGGAAAGGAAGAGAAAGCACGUGAGGGAGAGACAGACAUAAAAGUCCCAAUAAGGAUUGCAGAAUGUGAAAGAAAUGAAUAUAUAAAAUAAUGUAUUUUUUUUUUUUUUACAUCUGAUUAUGUGAUGUGAAAAGGAGCCAAAAUGUGAAAAGAAGUGGAUUAAAAAUGAAUGUGUUCAGGUCCAAGGCUGAAGAGCUGCUUCCUGUCUAUUGCACCUCUCUUGUCAUGGCUGCCACAAUUCUCACUCAGGAAAAACGCUAAUGGAGAAUUGAUAUCAGGAAUAAGUGUGGGAUUCAUGCACCUACCACAAGUUCCUCCAGUGUUUGGUCUAUAUCCGUCCUUCUACUCUGUUCUCAUUUACUUCAUAUUUGGAACAUAGACA